CCACAGGCUGAGCCUUGGAAUAGGGGCAGCCACGCCAUUCAAACUGCUGACCAAUGGGGUCUUCCGUUGGAAUGCUGGAGGAGGGGCUUAUUUUCUGGAUUUCUUUUUUUUCUUCAUAGGCUGGAGCCAUAUCCAGCUCAUCUUUUAGCUUGGUCGUUGUUGCCGUGGCUUAUCUUGCCAGACCAAAUACUACAUAGUUUUGAGUUAUUCUGCUAUCAGAGCAGGUGUCAUAGGCUGUGUCUGAUGGAAAGAAGGAGGAUUUGGAAAGGAGGAGUCAGCAACAUUUGGAGUCACUGGCCAUACAGAUGCACUAUACUUUACCACAAACCAUAUGGAAUAUACACCAGGCAAAAAAUAGAGAAAUGUCUUUCCCCACCUCUCUCCAAGUGUGGAAAUCAUGUAAACCCCCAUACACUGAGGCAUCACAGCAUGUAACACCUAUAUCUCUCUUCUCUGGGAGUUUAAGGGAAGUUGGACUGUACAAUAUAUACCCUUCUGAUCGGCUUCUAUUCCAGAAACUUCAGACCUUGGAGAGGUCAUCAAUAGCCGUUGAUACAAAAUCACUGAGGAUCUGUUGCAUAGAAGUAUUCUAGAUUAGUUGCUGCAAAAUUAUCUGCUUGCACUCAUAAAUGUAACAAAAGAAGACAAAAGCCCAAACAUUCACAGGGAAUUAAAGAAUCU